UACGUAGGGGGCAAGCGUUGUCCGGAUUUAUUGGGCGUAAAGCGCUCGCAGGUGGUUCAUUGCGUCGUGCGUGAAAGACCCCGGCUCAACUGGGGAGGGUCGUGCGAAACGGGUGAACUAGAGGCCAGUAGGGGGAUGCGGAAUUCCGGGUGUAGUGGUGGAAUGCGUAGAGAUCCGGAGGAACACCAGCGGCGAAGGCGGCAUCCUGGACUGGUCCUGACACUCAGGAGCGAAAGCGUGGGGGGCGAUCCGG
rnacentral:rRNA from 1 species